rnacentral:rRNA from 1 species
AAUUGACGGGGGCCCGCACAAGCGGCGGAGCAUGUGGAUUAAUUCGAUGCAACGCGAAGAACCUUACCUGGGCUUGACAUACACCAGAUCGGCGCAGAGAUGCGUUUUUCCCUUGUGGUUGGUGUACAGGUGGUGCAUGGUUGUCGUCAGCUCGUGUCGUGAGAUGUUGGGUUAAGUCCCGCAACGAGCGCAACCCUUGUCUUAUGUUGCCAGCACGUGAUGGUGGGGACUCAUGAGAGACUGCCGGGGUUAACUCGGAGGAAGGUGGGGAUGACGUCAAAUCAUCAUGCCCCUUAUGUCCAGGGCUUCACACAUGCUACAAUGGUCGGUACAACGCGUGUGCGACACUGUGAGGUGAAGCUAAUCGCUCUAAAGCCGGUCGUAGUUCGGAUUGGGGUCUGCAACUCGACCCCAUGAAGUCGGAGUCGCUAGUAAUCGCAGAUCAGCAACGCUGCGGUGAAUACGUUCCCGGGCCUU